CCUUUCUCGCUUCAUCCGCGGUCCCUGUCUGUUUUCGUUAUGGCGCCUUGUACUUCUACCCAACGUUGCCCGCCCCCCAUCUUCCCAGCCCACCAGCUCCGUCCGCCUCUCCGGAUGAUUCGUGAGAUACCGAGCCUGCCGGGAAGGGACCGGAUUUUUCCGUCUGGUCCAAGGAAGCACGGGUUAUGGCCACAUGCGCAGUGAUAACUCAGGGCCCCACGCCUUUUGACCCGUGAGUGUUGUAGGCUUGGGGGUGACGGGAUCUGCUGUUGAUGAAGAUUGUGAGGAGGGAGACCAGAAGAUAAUGGACAACGAUACAGCAGAAGGGUCUGGUUACACUUGAGCUUAUUUCUUGGAAGAGUCUGAGAAGACGGCCUGUCAGGCUCCUAACACUAAGGUAAUUGCUGGCUAAGACAGCCUGACCCUCCGGUUUCCCUUUCCCAUCGGAUCUUGACGCUGGUCUUGGUGGUCGUUAAGGAGGAAGAGCACCCUGAAGCUGGCCUCACAGCGAUGCAGUCUGCUGUAGAGCAGCAGGCCAGACUCAGACAUGCCUGGGCUUUGAAGUGGGAAAACUUGAGAACUGAUCAGUAUUGCUGAGUAAUGGCUUACUUUCAUGGUUUUUUUUUUUUAAGGGCCAUGUAACCAGUGAAGCAGCCAUUAUAUAUGAUUUGGUCUACACUUGUUGGAAAAAUUCCACAAGAGGAUCUCCUGGAAGCUAGCAGAAGUUUUUGGCUUGUACAUUGCCAGGCAGCCAUUGGAAUCGGAGCUGCAGUCAGAUUAAGGCCAGCCUGGCCUACAUUGAGAAACCUCAUUUUGGGAAAGUGAAAUACUUUGUCAAUUAACAUGCAGUUGGUUCAAUAAAGACUUUUGGAAAGUGUC
rnacentral:lncRNA from 1 species